rnacentral:rRNA from 1 species
UGAGGAAUUUUGCGCAAUGGGGGGAACCCUGACGCAGCAACGCCGCGUGGGUGAUGAAGGCCUUCGGGUCGUAAAGCCCUGUCGGGCGGGAAGAACGUCCCUUCGGGGAAUGACGGUACCGCAAGAGGCAGCACCGGCUAACUCCGUGCCAGAAGCCGCGGUAAUACGGAGGGUGCAAGCGUUAUUCGGAAUUACUGGGCGUAAAGGGCGUGCAGGCGGGUGUGCAAGGCUGAUGUGAAAGCCCGGGGCUGAACCCCGGAAGGGCAUUGGAAACUGCUUUUCUAGAGUGCUGGAGAGGAAGGGAGAAUUCCCGGUGUAGAGGUGAAAUUCGUAGAGAUCGGGAGGAACAUCAGUGGCGAAGGCGCCCUUCUGGACAGCAACUGACGCUGAGACGCGAAAGCGUGGGGAGCAAACA